CGCCCUUCCUACGGGAGGCAGCAGUGAGGAAUAUUGGACAAUGGGUUAGCGCCUGAUCCAGCCAUCCCGCGUGAAGGAUGACGGCCCUAUNGGUUGUAAACUUCUUUUGUGCAGGGAUAAACCUACUCUCGUGGGAGAGCGAAGGUNCNCGAANNCNC
rnacentral:rRNA from 1 species